UAGGCAGUGUAAUUAGCUGAUUGUAGUGCGA
rnacentral:piRNA from 2 species